CACGUAGUUAGCCGGUGCUUCUUAUCCAGGUACCGUCACCACAAAGUGGCUUCUUCCCUAGCGAAAGGAGUUUACAACCCGAAGGCCGUCAUCCCCCACGUGGCGUCGCUGCAUCAGGCUUGCGCCCAUUGUGCAAUAUUCCCCACUGCUGCCUCCCGUAGGAGUCUGGGCCGUGUCUCAGUCCCAAUGUGGCCGUACACCCUCUCAGGCCGGCUACCCGUCGUCGCCUUGGUAGGCCAUUACCCCACCAACAAGCUGAUAGGCCGCGGGCUCAUCUUGCACCGAAAAACUUUCCACCACACACACUAAAGCAUGGUCCUAUCCGGUAUUAGACCCAGUUUCCCAGGCUUAUCCCGAAGUGCAAGGCAGAUCACCCACGUGUUACUCACCCGUUCGCCACUCGAGUACCCCUUGCAAGCAAGGAGCCUUCCGUUCGACUUGCAUGUGUUAAGCACGCCGCCAGCGUCGUCCUCGUAGCCACGGAGUCAAACUAC
rnacentral:rRNA from 1 species